rnacentral:rRNA from 1 species
GUGGGGAAUCUUGCGCAAUGGGCGAAAGCCUGACGCAGCCAUGCCGCGUGAAUGAUGAAGGUCUUAGGAUUGUAAAAUUCUUUCAGUAGGGACGAUAAUGACGGUACCUACAGAAGAAGCCCCGGCUAACUUCGUGCCAGCAGCCGCGGUAAUACGAAGGGGGCUAGCGUUGCUCGGAAUUACUGGGCGUAAAGGGAGCGUAGGCGGGUUAUCAAGUUGGAGGUGAAAGCCCAGGGCUCAACCUUGGAAUUGCCUUCAAAACUGAUAGCCUAGAGUAUGAUAGAGGUAAGUGGAACUCCGAGUGUAGAGGUGAAAUUCGUAGAUAUUCGGAAGAACACCAGUGGCGAAGGCGACUUACUGGAUCAUGACUGACGCUGAGGCUCGAAAGCGUGGGGAGCAAACAGGAUUAGAAACCCUUGUAGUCC